AUGAUGUGGAUUAAUUCGAUGCAACGCGAAAACCUUACCUACCCUUGACAUGUCCGGAAUCCCGAAGAGAUUUGGGAGUGCUCGCAAGAGAACCGGAACACGAGGUGCUGCAUGGGCUGUCGUCAGCUCGUGUCGUGAGAUGUUGGGUUAAGUCCCGCAACGAGCGCAACCCUUGUCAUUAGUUGCCAUCAUUUGGUUGGGCACUCUAAUGAGACUGCCGGUGACAAACCGGAGGAAGGUGGGGAUGACGUCAAGUCCUCAUGGCCCUUAUGGGUAGGGCUUCACACGUCAUACAAUGGGUGGUACAAAGAGAAGCCAACUCGCGAGAGCGCGCCAAUCUCAAAAAGCCAUCCUCAGUUCGGAUUGGAGUCUGCAACUCGACUCCAUGAAGUUGGAAUCGCUAGUAAUCGCGGAUCAGCAUGCCGCGGUGAAUACGUUCCCGGGCCUU
rnacentral:rRNA from 1 species